GUCAGAUCAAAUAGUUUACACUGUAAGGUUGCAAAGAUAUAGGAAAUCGAAAAUUUCAAUUUGUAGCAAAAACUCGGCUCCUUUCCCAAUCUCUGUAGUAUCUGAGAAUUAAAACAAAGAAUUCCUCUUUCGAAAUUUUUCUCAACCAAUAUUGAAAAGAAACCAGAAUAAUAUUUCAUAAUAUUUUUUUUUCAAAUUAAUCGAUGAACUCAUUAGUUAUCAGUUUUGAAGCUGUGAUUUUAGUUGAUUUGUUACCAAGAAUUUAUACUAGAUUGGUUAUUGGUUAUUUUACUCGAAAUCAAGAUUUAUUUAAACG